rnacentral:rRNA from 1 species
GAUUCAUAAUAACUUCUCGAAUCGCACGGCCUUGCGCCGGCGAUGGUUCAUUCAAAUUUCUGCCCUAUCAACUUUCGACGGCUGGGUCUUGGCCAGCCGUGGUGACAACGGGUAACGGAGGGUUAGGGCUCGACCCCGGAGAAGGAGCCUGAGAAACGGCUACUACAUCCAAGGAAGGUAGCAGGCGCGCAAAUUACCCAAUCCCGACACGGGGAGGUAGUGACAAUAAAUACUGAUACAGGGCUCUUUCGGGUCUUGUAAUUGGAAUGAGUACAAUUUAAAUCCCUUAACGAGGAACAAUUGGAGGGCAAGUCUGGUGCCAGCAGCCGCGGUAAUUCCAGCUCCAAUAGCGUAUAUUAAAGUUGUUGAGGUUAAAAAGCUCGUAGUUGAACCUUGGGCCUAGCCGGCCGGUCCGCCUCACCGCGUGCACUGGCUCGGCUGGGUCUUUCCUUCUGGAGAACCGCAUGCCCUUCACUGGGUGUGCCGGGGAACCAGGACUUUUAC